AUGGCCGCUGCAUCGCAACUCCGGCAGCGUCGGCGACCGCUGCAUCGUAGCUCCGGCGGUCGACGACCGCUGCACUGCAGCUCCGGCGGCGUCGGCGACCGCUGCAUCGCAGCUCCGGCGGUCGACGACCGCUGCACUGUAGCUUCGGCGGCGUCGGCGACCGCUGCAUCGCAGCUCCGGCGGUCGACGACCGCUGCACUGCAGCUCCGGCGGCGUCGGCGACCCCUGCAUCGCAGCUCCGGCGGCGUCUGCAACAGCUGCAUCGCAGUUAUCCGCCUAGCAUCGCAACUCCGGCACCGACAAGGCCGCUGCUGCCGUGCGGGGCAUGCUUGGAGCGGACAGUGGGCGUGCGAACGGCUACGAUGUCCACAAUCAGACGGUUGUCAAGGCGACGGAUAA
rnacentral:rRNA from 1 species